rnacentral:rRNA from 1 species
AGAACGAACGCUGGCGGCAGGCCUAACACAUGCAAGUCGAACGCCCCGCAAGGGGAGUGGCAGACGGGUGAGUAACACGUGGGAACCUUCCUAUUAGUAUGGAAUAGACCAGGGAAACUUGGAUUAAUACCGUAUACGCCCUAAGGGGGAAAGAUUUAUCGCUAAUAGAUGGGCCCGCGUAAGAUUAGCUAGUUGGUGAGGUAAUGGCUCACCAAGGCUACGAUCUUUAGCUGGUUUGAGAGAAUGAUCAGCCACACUGGAACUGAGACACGGUCCAGACUCCUACGGGAGGCAGCAGUGGGGAAUAUUGGACAAUGGGCGCAAGCCUGAUCCAGCCAUGCCGCGUGAGUGAUGAAGGCCUUCGGGUUGUAAAGCUCUUUUAGUAGAGAAAAUAAUGAUGGUAUCUACAGAAAAGCCCCGGCUAACUUCGUGCCAGCAGCCGC